UCAACCNUUGUAGGCUUUGGAAACUGUUUAACUUGAGUGCAGAAGGGGAGAGUGGAAUUCCAUGUGUAGCGGUGAAAUGCGUAGAUAUAUGGAGGAACACCGGUGGCGAAAGCGGCUCUCUGGUCUGUAACUGACGCUGAGGCUCGAAAGCGUGGGGAGCGAACAGGAUUAGAUACCCUGGUAGUNCACGCCGUAAACGAUGAGUGCUAGGUGUUAGGUCCUUUCCGGGACUUAGUGCCGCAGCUAACGCAUUAAGCACUCCGCCUGGGGAGUACGACCGCAAGGUUGAAACUCAAAGGAAUUGACGGGGGCCCGCACAAGCGGUGGAGCAUGUGGUUUAAUUCGAAGCAACGCGAAGAACCUUACCAGGUCUUGACAUCCCGAUGCUAUUUCUAGAGAUAGGAAGUUUCUUCGGAACAUCGGUGACAGGUGGUGCAUGGUUGUCGUCAGCUCGUGUCGUGAGAUGUUGGGUUAAGUCCCGCAACGAGCGCAACCCUUAUUGUUAGUUGCCAUCAUUGAGUUGGGCACUCUAGCGAGACUGCCGGUAAUAAACCGGAGGAAGGUGGGGAUGACGUCAAAUCAUCAUGCCCCUUAUGACCUGGGCUACACACGUGCUACAAUGGCUGGUACAACGAGUCGCAAGCCGGUGACGGCAAGCUAAUCUCUGAAAGCCAGUCUCAGUUCGGAUUGUAGGCUGCAACUCGCCAACAUGAAGUCGGAAUCGCUAGUAAUCGCGGAUCAGCACGCCGCGGUGAAUACGUUCCCGGGCCUUGUANA
rnacentral:rRNA from 1 species